rnacentral:rRNA from 1 species
AUUGAACGCUAGCGGGAUGCUUUACACAUGCAAGUCGAGCGAGCGGCGGACGGGUGAGUAAUGUAUGGGGACUGCCCGAUAGAGGGGGAUAACUCCUGGACACGGUAGCUAAUACCGCAUACUAUCGGAUAACCCAUAUGGGGUUAGCUAGUAGGUGAGGUAAUGGCUCACCUAGGCGACGAUCCCUAGCUGGUCUGAGAGGAUGAUCAGCCACACUGGGACUGAGAAACGGCCCAGACUCCUACGGAGGCAGCAGUGGGGAAUAUUGCACAAUGGGCGCAAGCCUGAUGCAGCCAUGCCGCGUGUAUGAAGAAGGCCCUAGGGUUGUAAAGUACUUUCAGUCGGGAGGCGUUACCGACAGAAGAAGCACCGGCUAACUCCGUGCCAGCAGCCGCGGUAAUU